CUUUAUCACAGAGAAGCCUUCAACCACCUCUCGGUCCAUCACAACCAUUCUCACAGGGACAACCACCACAAUCUCUGUCACCACAAACUCAACUGCUCUGGUUUCUUCCACCGUUCUCUUCCCAGUAUUGGUUCCUACUGCAUGUGUCUGUGUUUUGGUUUUCCUGGUGGUGCUGGUCGUACUGGUGAGACAACGUGUUCACAACAAACCUGAAGCUACCGAAGGAGGAGGAGGAGGAGGAGGAGGAGAGGGGGAUGAAGUCACGUACAGCCAUGUCCAAAUACAGCAGAGUAAAGAAGAGAAAACCAAACCCAGACAAGAACAUGACGGUGAUCCAUCUAUAGUCUACUCAACCAUAAGAACAGGGGAAGUGACUUAUGGGGAGAUAAUCAUCAAAAAGAAGAAGAAGUCAAAGGCCAAAGAAAAAGAGAGUCAACCAGACCCAGACGUGGUCUACUCCUCGGUAGGAGGACCCAGAGCCAACCCGUGACCUCCAACAGCUUCCAGUAACUGGCUGGAGAGAUGAAUCUUCCUCACUGGGAGCAAACCGUGACUUCGCAUUCCCAUAAACUGGUUUCCAGUGGUAGAUCAGGAAACUGGUGCUUCAUCUGGAAUGUUGCACCCAGGAGUUAUUGUUGUGUUUUUAUUAAAUUCAAGAAAAAUGAUUGAAAAGCGGAAAAUAAUUUUGAAAACCAAUGUUUUUAAAUCCAAGUCUUUGCUGUCAGUCCAAGCUCACAAGAGGCUAACCCUUAGCUUUUCAUGCAUUUAAAGGGGUCAUAGAAUGCAAAACCGAGUUUACGUUGUCAUUGAAUAAUAACGAUAG